GACGGUGUAGUCAAGUGGUCUACGACGUUAGCCUCGAAAGCUAAUCCUCUUUGAGGGCGCAGGUUCGAAUCCUGCCACCGUCG